rnacentral:rRNA from 1 species
UUAAGAGUAAGGGUGCUCAGCGCCCGACCUCCAACCCUUUGUUGUUAAAACUACCUUGUUGCUUUGGCGGGACCGCUCGGUCUCGAGCCGCUGGGGAUUCGUCCCAGGCGAGCGCCCGCCAGAGUUAAACCAAACUCUUGUUAUUAAACCGGUCGUCUGAGUUAAAAUUUUGAAUAAAUCAAAACUUUCAACAACGGAUCUCUUGGUUCUCGCAUCGAUGAAGAACGCAGCGAAAUGCGAUAAGUAAUGUGAAUUGCAGAAUUCAGUGAAUCAUCGAAUCUUUGAACGCACAUUGCGCCCCUUGGUAUUCCGAGGGGCAUGCCUGUUCGAGCGUCAUUACACCACUCAAGCUAUGCUUGGUAUUGGGUGCCGUCCUUAGUUGGGCGCGCCUUAAAGACCUCGGCGAGGCCUCACCGGCUUUAGGCGUAGUAGAAUUUAUUCGAACGUCUGUCAAAGGAGAGGACUUCUGCCGACUGAAACCUUUAUUUUUCUAGGUUGACCUCGGAUCAGGUAGGGAUACCCGCUGAACUUAAGCAUAUCA